UACGGAGGGAGCUAGCGUUGUUCGGAAUUACUGGGCGUAAAGCGCACGUAGGCGGCGAUUCAAGUCAGAGGUGAAAGCCCGGGGCUCAACCCCGGAACUGCCUUUGAAACUAGAUUGCUAGAAUCCUGGAGAGGUUAGUGGAAUUCCGAGUGUAGAGGUGAAAUUCGUAGAUAUUCGGAAGAACACCAGUGGCGAAGGCGACUAACUGGACAGGUAUUGACGCUGAGGUGCGAAAGCGUGGGGAGCAAAC
rnacentral:rRNA from 1 species